CAGCGCAUCCUAGGGCUGGAGAAGGUCCUAAGGGUUGGUCUGUUCGCCCAUUAAAGCGCUACGUGAGCUGGGUUCAGACCGUCGUGAGACAGGUCGGUCUCUAUCCGUUACCAGCGUUGGAAUUUUGAGGGGGGUUGAUCGUAGUACGAGAGGACCCGAUUGAGCCAACCGCUAGUGUUUCUGUUGUCGCCGUCAGGUGCAUCGCAGAGUAGCUACGUUGGUAAGUGAUAACCGCUGAAAGCAUCUAAGUGGGAAGCACGCCCUGAGAUUAGAAUUCCUGUAUAGCGCAAGCUGUACGAAGAUCCCCAGCAGAAGACUGGGUUAAUGGCGGGAAAUGUACGCACUGCAAAGUGUUUAGUUGACCCGU
rnacentral:rRNA from 1 species